ACUCCUGCGGGAGGCAGCAGUGGGGAAUAUUGGACAAUGGGCGCAAGCCUGAUCCAGCCAUGCCGCGUGAGUGAUGAAGGCCCUAGGGUUGUAAAGCUCUUUCACCGGUGAAGAUAAUGACGGUAACCGGAGAAGAAGCCCCGGCUAACUUCGUGCCAGCAGCCGCGGUAAUACGAAGGGGGCUAGCGUUGUUCGGAUUUACUGGGCGUAAAGCGCACGUAGGCGGACUAUUAAGUCAGGGGUGAAAUCCCGGGGCUCAACCCCGGAACUGCCUUUGAUACUGGUAGUCUUGAGUUCGAGAGAGGUGAGGGGAAUUCCGAGUGUAGAGGUGAAAUUCGUAGAUAUUCGGAGGAACACCAGUGGCGAAGGCGGCUCACUGGCUCGAUACUGACGCUGAGGUGCGAAAGCGUGGGGAGCAAACAGGAUUAGAUACCCCUGUAGUCCCAUG
rnacentral:rRNA from 1 species